rnacentral:lncRNA from 1 species
UGAGAUAUAACAUGAGGGCACGUUUUGAUGCUGCUUGGUCAGAAUGGGAAGCACAUGUCUCCAGUGUUCCUCUGGGCUUUGCCAGAUCAUUCAGAGCCCUGAGAUUUCCUUCGACCUGUGGUAUUUUUAUAACAUCUGCAAGCUACUUUUAACUGCUCUGCUGUCCCAACCCAGUGUCCCAGAUGCAGAAUGCAUGUGUCUUUCUGGAAGCACACUCAGAGGCCAUCUCAAACAUGCAGAAGGAUUUAGAAACAUUCAGAACCAUCAUCUCAGACUUCAAAUUUGGAAUUUGAUAAACCUCCCCAUGAUGGCCAUUUAUGAUAUUUCUCGUCAAAAUUCCUUCUUCUGGGAAAUGCGUACCCAUCUCUUAGCCUGCAUCCUAGUCCAUGUGUUUGUAGAUAGAUUUUUCAUAAUUUAGUGUAAACCUAACACCAACUCUCCAUCAAACAUCAGUCACAAGGGUUGAGUUCAGAUUUGAGUAGAUGCUUUGCUCUCUUAGUAGGCACCGGUAAAUCUUUGUAGAAAUGCUUGUACUAUUCUGGGUGUUAAACAUUUUGAAUAUAUUGCGAGGUAAUCUUGCAGCUCUGUGAACACACUAUCAGCUACCUACAAACCAUCACAUAUUCAUUUAGUCCAUAUGGGUAAAUCUUAUGUUUCUAAAAAAUUAAGAAUCUUAUCAGUCUAAUUUUAGAGAACUUUUAGAACACACAGUUUUGAG